rnacentral:rRNA from 1 species
GACGAACGCUGGCGGCGUGCCUAAUACAUGCAAGUAGAACGCUGAAGAGAGGAGCUUACUCUUCUUGGAUGAGUUGCGAACGGGUGAGUAACGCGUAGGUAACCGGCCUUGUAGCGGGGGAUAACUAUUGGAAACGAUAGCUAAUACCGCAUAACAAUGGAUGACACAUGUCAUUUAUUUGAAAGGGGCAAUUGCUCCACUACAAGAUGGACCUGCGUUGUAUUAGCUAGUAGGUGAGGUAAUGGCUCACCUAGGCGACGAUACAUAGCCGACCUGAGAGGGUGGACGGCCACACUGGGACUGAGACACGGCCCAGACUCCUACGGGAGGCAGCAGUAGGGGAUCUUCGGCAAGUGGGGGAACCCUGACCGAGCAAAGCCGCGGGGGUGAAGAAGGUUUUCGGAUCGGAAAGCUCGGUUGUAAGUCAAGAAAGGGUGUGAAAGUGGAAAGUUCACGCUGUGACGGUAGCUGACCAAAAAGGGACGGCUAACUACGUG